AACGAACGCUGGCGGCAGGCUUAACACAUGCAAGUCGAACGCCCCGCAAGGGGAGUGGCAGACGGGUGAGUAACGCGUGGGAACAUACCCUUUUCUACGGAAUAGCUCUGGGAAACUGGAAUUAAUACCGUAUACGCCCUACGGGGGAAAGAUUUAUCGGGGAAGGAUUGGCCCGCGUUGGAUUAGCUAGUUGGUGGGGUAAAGGCCUACCAAGGCGACGAUCCAUAGCUGGUCUGAGAGGAUGAUCGGCCACAUUGGGACUGAGACACGGCCCAAACUCCUACGGGAGGCAGCAGUGGGGAAUAUUGGACAAGGGGCGCAAGCCUGAUCCAGCCAUGCCGCGUGAGUGAUGAAGGCCUUAGGGUUGUAAAGCUCUUUCACCGAUGAAGAUAAUGACGGUAGUCGGAGAAGAAGCCCCGGCUAACUUCGUG
rnacentral:rRNA from 1 species